AGUAUUUUCCACAGUUGACAGUUACAGUGUAGUUAUAUGGUUGCAGUUAGUUACGGUUACAGUUGUAGUGUGAAAAUGUUAAAAUGCAGCAGGAGAAGAAGAAAAUUACCUGCAUUUGCUUAGGGGAUGUUUUUCUAUUAGUGAUGGGUUGGCGAUGAAGAAUCUUGAAAGCUUAGAAGAUUUGGAAACCAUACUGUCCACCACGUCCAGAAGAAACAUUUCACAUGUAAAAUGGUCUUAAUGGCACCUUUCAAAAUAUGGAACUUCACUUCAGCCAUCCAGUCUAGCACUUACGUCCAAUUUUGCUGGCCUUUGCUGUGAACAUCAAUAACAUGCACUAAUUGAAGGUUCAUGUUCCAAAUUACUGCCCAAUGGAGUGUGUUGUCCCAGCAUAUGCCAAUUCAAGUUAAACUGUUCUUGGUUCUGGCGUCGUGUUACGGAAUUCGCAUCCUGUAUUUUGUUCAAUUUUAUGUGUGUCUAUAGUUUAUGUGUUGAGAAGGAAGAAAAACGGAAAUAUGGGAGGUUUUUACAUAAAAAGAAAUAAACAUUGGGAAAGCAACGAGGAGGAAAAUGGUAGGGUGGAGAGGGGAGAUUUGAUUUAAAGUAAAACAUAAAUGAAUAGUGACGUGAAAAUUAAUGAUGAAAUCUUUAUUAACCUACAAUCCCACAUGUAUUCACAUCAUUUACAUCCUAAUACCCAUACCUUUAAUACCCCCACUCCUAAUUACCAUCCCUUCCCUAUAAUUUUCACACCCAUAACGCCCAAACCUCUAAUACUAACACUCAUAAUUCCCAUACUUAAAUGUAUAUCUCUAAUUAUU